rnacentral:rRNA from 1 species
AAUCAACGCUGGCGGCGUGCCUCAGACAUGCAAGUCGAACGAUUAAACUUUCCUUCGGGAAAGAUAUAAAGUGGCGCACGGGUGAGUAACACGUAGGUAAUGUACCUUUGGGUGGGGAAUAACCAUCGGAAACGAUGGCUAAUACCGCAUAAUGCAGCGGCAUCGCAAGAUGACAGUUGUUAAAGAUUUAUCGCCUAAGGAGCAGCCUGCGGCAGAUUAGGUAGNGGUAAGGUAAUGGCUUACCAAGCCUGCGAUCUGUAACCGACCUGAGAGGGUGGUCGGUCACACUGACACUGAAUAACGGGUCAGACUCCUACGGGAGGCAGCAGUCGGG